UAUUGAAAAAUAAAUUAGUUUAUCGAUGAUGAAUUGAUGAUGAGCAAGUGUCUUUAGUGUUUUUAAAGUGUUAGAAACUUAAUGUAUAAUAGAAAAAAUGGCUGGAAAUUUCGGAAUGCAGCAGUUAAUUCCUAUUGUAAACAAGUUGCAAGAUGCAUUUGUACAGAUGGGCGUGCACAUGUCUUUAGAUCUUCCGCAAAUUGCAGUUGUGGGUGGUCAGUCCGCUGGAAAAAGUUCGGUGUUAGAAAAUUUUGUGGGCAGAGACUUCCUGCCUCGAGGGUCUGGAAUAGUAACUCGUCGUCCUUUGAUCUUGCAGCUCAUAAAUGGAAAUACAGAAUUCGCGGAGUUCCUGCACUGCAAAGGCAAAAAGUUCGUGGAUUUCAAUGAAGUGCGCGCAGAGAUCGAGUCGGAAACAGACCGCAUUACCGGCUCCAAUAAAGGCAUCUCGCCGGUUCCGAUUAAUUUGCGCGUUUACUCUCCAAAUGUUCUUAACUUGACACUGAUCGAUCUGCCGGGGCUGACUAAGGUGCCGAUAGGAGACCAGCCCGUGGACAUAGAGCAGCAGAUCAAAGCCAUGAUCUUCCAGUUCAUUAGGCGAGAGUCCUGCCUCAUCCUCGCCGUCACCCCGGCCAAUACGGACUUGGCAAACAGUGACGCCUUAAAACUUGCCAAAGAAGUUGAUCCCCAAGGUCUUCGUACCAUCGGCGUGAUCACCAAGUUGGAUCUCAUGGACGAGGGGACUGACGCCCGCGAUGUGCUGGAGAAUAAACUUCUACCGCUGCGACGAGGCUACAUCGGCGUUGUCAACCGAUCGCAGAAGGAUAUUGACGGUAGAAAGGACAUCUCUGCCGCCCUUGCGGCUGAAAGGAAAUUCUUCCUGAGUCACCCAUCAUACCGACACAUCGCCGACCGUCUCGGAACCCCAUACCUCCAGCGGGUGCUGAACCAACAGCUCACGAACCACAUCCGAGACACGCUGCCCGGACUACGGGACAAACUGCAGAAACAACUGCUCGCGCUGGAGAAAGAUGUCGACCAAUACAAACACUUUCGGCCAGAUGACCCGUCGAUCAAGACUAAGGCUAUGUUGCAAAUGAUCCAACAACUGCAAACGGAUUUCGAACGUACGAUCGAGGGGUCUGGAUCUGCCCAGAUCAACACCAACGAGCUAUCGGGCGGUGCCAAAAUCAACCGGCUGUUCCACGAGCGGUUCCCGUUCGAGAUCGUCAAGAUGGAGUUCGACGAGAAGGAGCUUCGUAGAGAGAUCGCGUUCGCUAUCAGGAAUAUUCACGGUAUUAGGGUUGGUUUGUUCACUCCGGACAUGGCGUUCGAGGCUAUAGUAAAGAAGCAGAUCGGCCGGCUAAAGGAGCCAUGCAUCAAGUGCGUCGAUUUAGUAGUGCAGGAGUUGUCAAAUGUGGUCCGCAUUUGCACUGAAAGGAUGUCACGGUACCCCCGCCUUCGUGAAGAAACUGAGCGUAUCAUAAUGUCGCACGUUCGUUCCCGCGAACAAAAGUGCAAGGACCAGUUGGUUCUACUCAUUGACUGCGAACUUGCCUACAUGAACACCAACCACGAGGAUUUCAUCGGAUUCGCUAACGCUCAAAAUCAGUCGGAGAACUCGGCGAAAUCAGGACAUCGGGCCCUUGGAAACCAAGUCAUUAGGAAAGGAUACAUGUGCAUACACAAUUUGGGCAUAAUGAAAGGUGGAUCCCGCGAUUACUGGUUCGUGCUGACAUCGGAGAGCAUCUCGUGGUUCAAGGAUGAGGAGGAGCGCGAGAAGAAAUACAUGUUGCCGCUGGACGGAUUGAAGUUGCGCGACCUCGAGCAAGGAUUCAUGUCGCGGCGACACAUGUUCGCGUUGUUCAACCCUGAGGGCAGGAAUGUGUACAAGGACUACAAGCAGCUGGAGCUGUCGUGUGAGACACAAGACGACGUUGACUCGUGGAAAGCAUCGUUCCUCCGGGCCGGUGUGUACCCUGAGAAGACUUCGGAAGCGGCCAAUGGGGAUGAGAGUUCAGAUAGCGCUGGUACCAGCAGCAUGGACCCUCAGCUCGAGAGACAGGUGGAGACGAUCAGAAACCUGGUGGACUCGUACAUGCGCAUCGUGACCAAGACCACGAGAGACCUCGUGCCCAAGACCAUCAUGAUGCUGAUCAUAAACAACGCCAAAGACUUUAUCAAUGGGGAGCUGUUAGCGCAUCUGUAUGCUUCUGGUGAUCAGUCACAAAUGAUGGAAGAGUCGCCGGAGGAGGCGCAGAAACGCGAGGAGAUGCUGCGCAUGUACCACGCUUGCAAGGAGGCGUUGCAUAUAAUCGGCGACGUGUCUAUGGCGACGGUGAGCACGCCCGUGCCGCCGCCCGUGAAGAACGACUGGCUGGAGAGCCGCCUCGACUCCAACCCGAGGCUGUCGCCGCCCUCGCCCGGCGGCCCGCGCCGAGCGGCGCCUCAGCAACAAGGUUCGAUGGGCCAACGCGGAGCCCCGCCGCCCCCGGGCGCGGGCACGGGGCGGCCCGCGCCCCCGCUGCCGUCGCGGCCGGGCGGCGCCGCGCCCCCGCCCCCCGCCGGCCGCCCGCAGCCCGGCGGCGGCCUGCCCGCGCCCCUCAUACCCACGCGGCGCUAAGCGUGCGGCCCGGCGCGUGCCGACUAACUAACUAACAUAAGUUACGUACGAACUAAGCCGACCGAUGCCGAACGUGCCACCGAAGCUGCCCGAACGACCACAGAAUGGGCGGCCAUUUUGAACGCUCCCAUACCGCCGC
rnacentral:misc_RNA from 1 species